CUUACAGUGUAUGUUUUGCUAGCAGAAACUAGAGUGAAAAGAAUCCGUUGUUAAUCCAGCGAUCUGAACGAAUCUUCAAAAUCUGUGAUUGAUCGUAAUCCAUUGCUUUCAUUCUCUCCCACAGCAGUCAUUUUCCGUUGACGAAGGGCCGGAAUGGAAGUUUCGGCAAGUUCCCGGACAGCAGAAGACGAACAUUUAUUCUCCAAUGUUCGCAAGGAC